rnacentral:lncRNA from 1 species
GUUUCUCUUGUUCUUUGUCGACAGCUAGUUGCUUUGAACUCUCUAACCAUGGUCCUAGUAGGAACCCUUCAUGGGAAGCUAAUAGCGCGUCCAUAUCAUCCACAAGAUCAAGAAAUUUCUCGCUAAGGUAAGCAACACUAUAACUAUCACGUGACUCAUACGCUUCAAUGACAUCUAGAAACAGAUCAUUGGCGUACUUUGCUAAUGCUUGUCUUGUUAAGUCAACAAGGUCAUACCUAAAAGUGUUGCUUCUAGAUAACUCUUUACCACCUUCAAUGAAAAGUUUUAAUGCGCGUAUAACUUCUGAUGUCGAGUACCACAGAUGUGGUUUGUCGAAAGGUUCAUCUUCGUCUUUCAAGGAUUUUUUCGUUGAAAAACGAUUUAUAGAAUAAACGGUUGGAUCAACGUCUGGGAAUGCAACAAUCACAUCCCUAUUUUUAUCCUGUAAAGUUUUAUAAAUUGAAAAAAAUAAAAGCAGCUCUAUAUGAGAUGUAAGGAACACCGUAGAACUGAUUUGAAGUAGUCCAAAUAGGGUUGACUUCCGCAAAAAGGUCAAGAACAAUCAUUUUGCCAAUAGGAACAGCAUGUAGAAGUGCCUGCAUCUGU